GGGAUUAAGUUUGGAGAUACAAAGAUCUAAGGAUACUAGCUCCUGGGCACCCAGGGAGCACACUGACUUGUGGCAAGCACAAUACAACACCACACAGGUGACUCAAGCGACGCUGCCACUUGUCACUUAAGGCAGGAAGCACACAGCAGUUAAUGAAAGGUUGUCAUCUGCUUCCUUAUUUACAAUGUAAGAGCCUCUCCUGUGGCUCCCAACCCUUCAUUAGGCACUACUGUGAUCUAGCGAUGGUUGUCACCCACUCUUUAAAGGCAAAGACAUUGAGAUUUACAGGGAAAAGCUUCAGGUUUCAUGAAUUCACUAUCAAACGCACGAUGAGUUGGUUAGAAAACAAAAACCCAACCUUAAAGAACACCUCAAAUGUAACAAUUUUUUGCAUGAAAACCACUGUAAGGUACAUAAAUGUAGGGAUGGGUUGAUUUGGGUCACAGAGACAAAUCCAUGUACUGUAAAGGAUUACAUGAUCAGUCUCAAGGGGGCUAGGUGCACACCAAAUAGCUGUGGAAGCUAAAAUGUCCGUUUUCACACAGCCAGGAUUCAAAGACACAUGAUCUUUCACACCCACACCUUCACAGGACUAUCUAAGAGGUAGGGGACGGAACAGUCCAUUACUGGAAAGGAUACUAAUGGGGUUCAAACAAUGCACAGUAAAGCUUCCGCAGGAUGGACAACACUUACAAAUAUAUGCUAAAUUGUUGCUCUCUUCCUCCUCAGGAAAAAAAAAAUCAGAGUACCAGGAUAGGUAGCUCUGUAGAGUAAACUGUAAAAUUCUAUAGCACACUAAAUCCAAAUAUAUGUAUCACUGAUUUGCUGUGAUUUGCUCAUUUAUAUACACGGCAGGAACCAUUAUGUAGGUAUGAAAGGGGUAUCAUUUACAGUCGAUUGGGGCAACCUCUGUGGUCUUGGCUAGUCACUAG